GUGUCAGCAGCCGCGGUAAUACGUAUGGGGCAAGCGUUAUCCGGAUUCAUUGGGCGUAAAGAGCGCGUAGGCGGCUUGGUAAGUCAGAUGUGAAAACCGGGGGCUCAACCCGCGGCCUGCAUCUGAAACUGCCAGGCUUGAGUCUGGUAGAGGAAAGUGGAAUUCCCAGUGUAGCGGUGAAAUGCGCAGAUAUUGGGAGGAACACCAGUGGCGAAGGCGGCUUUCUGGGCCACGACUGACGCUGAGGCGCGAAAGCUAGGGGAGCAAACAGGAUUAGAUACCCUGGUAGUCCUAGCCGUAAACGAUGGGCACUAGGUGUGGGGGGUCAUCAACUCCCUCCGUGCCGCAGCUAACGCAUUAAGUGCCCCGCCUGGGGAGUACGGCCGCAAGGUUAAA
rnacentral:rRNA from 1 species